GACGAACGCUGGCGGCGUGCCUAAUACAUGCAAGUCGAGCGAAGUUUUUCUGAUGCUUGCACUAGAAAAACUUAGCGGCGAACGGGUGAGUAACACGUAAAGAACCUGCCUCAUAGACUGGGACAACUAUUGGAAACGAUAGCUAAUACCGGAUAACAGUAUUUCUCGCAUGAGAGAUAUUUAAAAGUUGGUUAUGCUAACACUAUGAGAUGGCUUUGCGGUGCAUUAGCUAGUUGGUGGGGUAAAGGCCCACCAAGGCGACGAUGCAUAGCCGACCUGAGAGGGUGAUCGGCCACACUGGGACUGAGACACGGCCCAGACUCCUACGGGAGGCAGCAGUAGGGAAUCUUCCGCAAUGGGCGAAAGCCUGACGGAGCAACGCCGCGUGAGUGAAGAAGGAUUUCGGUUCGUAAAGCUCUGUUGUUAGGGAAGAAUGGAUAUGUAGUAACUAUACAUGUAAGAGACGGUACCUAACCAGAAAGCCACGGCUAACUACGUG
rnacentral:rRNA from 1 species